rnacentral:tRNA from 1 species
GAUUGUGUAACAUAAUGAUUAAGGCGUCUGUCUUUGGAGCAGAAAAUUGAAGAUUUGAGUUCUGUCAAGAUCG